UUCUUCAGUGACGAUUCGUUCGCGUGAAGCAUGGCCUUGCUUAAGGACAAGCCAGCGCAUUACUCUCCCCAAAGGCGAGCCAGAAAGAAAAGGUAAAGAACAAAACAAGAAAAGCCAAGACUGGUGCAAAGGGCCCGGAGUCAGGUCACGUCAAUGGCAUUCGCGGAAGCAGCAAGAAGAUAUACUAGAUUGAUUUUGAGAAGGACUAGUGAUUUGGAACCAUGGCCAGCUGACGAGGACUAAACCUGAACCAACAAUCAUCUCUCCAAACUUCUAUACUAAGCUAGGAGUGGAUCUUUUGACCCGAUGGAUUUAAUAUGCAUCAGAUCUGCUUACAUGGCAUUUCACUGAUGAAUUAGGAUCUGGAACUAGUGAUCCUUCGGUUGCUAAUCGAGAUUCUUAAAUUAAGACACCACUUCCCAAAGUUUUUGUGAAGAGAAACGUUCAAACUCAGCAGUUGUUACUUAUCUUUUUUAUGAUUAUGAUUAUUUACCUCUACAAAAAAUUGCAAACUAACAGUC